rnacentral:rRNA from 1 species
UACGGGGGGAGCAAGCGUUGUUCGGAUUUACUGGGCGUAAAGGGCGCGUAGGCGGCGUGACAAGUCACUUGUGAAAUCUCCGGGCUUAACUCGGAACGGUCAAGUGAUACUGUCGUGCUAGAGUACAGAAGGGGCAACUGGAAUUCUCGGUGUAGCGGUGAAAUGCGUAGAUAUCGAGAGGAACACUUGCGGCGAAGGCGGGUUGCUGGGCUGAUACUGACGCUGAGGCGCGAAAGCCAGGGGAGCGAACGGG